AACAGGAUUAGAUACCCUGGUAGUCCACGCCGUAAACGAUGUCGACUUGGAGGUUGUGCCCUUGAGGCGUGGCUUCCGGAGCUAACGCGUUAAGUCGACCGCCUGGGGAGUACGGCCGCAAGGUUAAAACUCAAAUGAAUUGACGGGGGCCCGCACAAGCGGUGGAGCAUGUGGUUUAAUUCGAUGCAACGCGAAGAACCUUACCUGGCCUUGACAUCCAGAGAACUUAGCAGAGAUGGAUUGGUGCCUUCGGGAACUGUGAGACAGGUGCUGCAUGGCUGUCGUCAGCUCGUGUUGUGAAAUGUUGGGUUAAGUCCCGCAACGAGCGCAACCCUUAUCCUUUGUUGCCAGCGAUUAGGUCGGGAACUCAAAGGAGACUGCCAGUGAUAAACUGGAGGAAGGUGGGGAUGACGUCAAGUCAUCAUGGCCCUUACGACCAGGGCUACACACGUGCUACAAUGGCGCAUACAAAGAGAAGCGACCUCGCGAGAGCAAGCGGACCUCAUAAAGUGCGUCGUAGUCCGGAUCGGAGUCUGCAACUCGACUCCGUGAAGUCGGAAUCGCUAGUAAUCGUAGAUCAGAAUGCUACGGUGAAUACGUUCCCGGGCCUUGUACACACCGCCCGUCACACCAUGGGAGUGGGUUGCAAAAGAAGUAGGUAGCUUAACCUUCGGGAGGGCGCUUACCACUUUGUGAUUCAUGACUGGGGUGAAGUCGUAACAAGGUAACC
rnacentral:rRNA from 1 species